AACGAACGCUGGCGGCAGGCUUAACACAUGCAAGUCGAGCGCCCCGCAAGGGGAGCGGCAGACGGGUGAGUAACACGUGGGAAUCUACCCAUCCCUGCGGAACAACUCCGGGAAACUGGAGCUAAUACCGCAUACGCCCUACGGGGGAAAGAUUUAUCGGGGAUGGAUGAGCCCGCGUUGGAUUAGCUAGUUGGUGGGGUAAAGGCCUACCAAGGCGACGAUCCAUAGCUGGUCUGAGAGGAUGAUCAGCCACAUUGGGACUGAGACACGGCCCAAACUCCUACGGGAGGCAGCAGUGGGGAAUAUUGGACAAUGGGCGCAAGCCUGAUCCAGCCAUGCCGCGUGAGUGAUGAAGGCCUUAGGGUUGUAAAGCUCUUUCAACGGUGAAGAUAAUGACGGUAACCGUAGAAGAAGCCCCGGCUAACUUCGUGCCAGCAGCAGCCGCAGUAA
rnacentral:rRNA from 1 species